AACGAACGCUGGCGGCAUGCCUAACACAUGCAAGUCGUACGAGACCUUCGGGUCUAGUGGCGCACGGGUGCGUAACGCGUGGGAACCUGCCCUUAGGUUCGGAAUAACUCCCCGAAAGGGGUGCUAAUACCGGAUAAUGUCUUCGGACCAAAGAUUUAUCGCCUUUGGAUGGGCCCGCGUUGGAUUAGCUAGUUGGUAGGGUAAAAGCCUACCAAGGCGACGAUCCAUAGCUGGUCUGAGAGGAUGAUCAGCCACACUGGGACUGAGACACGGCCCAGACUCCUACGGGAGGCAGCAGUGGGGAAUAUUGGACAAUGGGCGAAAGCCUGAUCCAGCAAUGCCGCGUGAGUGAUGAAGGCCUUAGGGUUGUAAAGCUCUUUUACCCGGAAUGAUAAUGACAGUACCGGGAGAAUAAGCUCCGGCUAACUCCGUG
rnacentral:rRNA from 1 species